rnacentral:tRNA from 1 species
GGUGGCUCAGUGGUUAAGGGCAUUGACUGCUCUUUCAAAGGACCUGGGUUCAAUUCCCAGGAACCA